CAUUGCUUAUAUCUGGAUUAGAAAGAGAGCGGGAGAAGAUCAGUAUCACGAAGACUGUGAGUACAUUGGAUUGUUUACAUAUCAUUGCUCAUACUUGGAUAUGGAUAACUAAUAUCUGCUGGAGUGAUUAACAGCUUGUUGAGCGGCCCCAUCGUGGAGGACGAGACGAGUGGGUGAGCCGAAGUAGAGUGGGGGUGAAUGGAUGUUAUUUGGCUGUGGCCACACCGUAAAGUUUGGAGCACUUACCGUGCCAGCGACUGUAAACUCCUCCAGGACGAAAUCCGACCGGGCGUUGAGUACCGACCUUAAAAAUCACUGAAGUGUGUGUAGUGCAGUGGGUGAGUCUGUCUUUGACGUGUGUACACCGAAGUUUUGCAGUGCUGUGCCGUGUCCCUGUUGUCUGUACUCGCCCUCCAGGCCGAGAAAAGUUCCUGUUGGAGAGAACGUAGGCUGCCGUGGCGGUGCCCACCUAUCCCACCUACGCCCGCCUAUAACUCCGUUCCCCGUACCUAGCCUGAAGGAGGUGAAGCGUGAAUGCAAAACAAGGUAUUGUGCGGAUAUUGUGGGAAAAGCUAUUGACCUUGAAUACGCCCUGUAAAGCCCAGCGUGAAGAUACAGUUACUUGUUGAAUACUUAUCCGUCUGCACGAGUUAAAAGCCAUUGACCUUGAAUACGCUCUGUAAGCCCAGUGUGAAGAGUCAGUCACCUUGCUCAAUACCUAUCUGUGCUACGAGUAAAAAGUUACUCGCUUCGAAUACACCGGUGUACAUCCAGGGGAAUGACCUAGUUACCUUGCUACAUCCUUACCUCUGUUACUUACCUGUGCCCUCAGGGACUUGUGUGUUACCUUGUACUUACCUAGGAGGUCUAUGGGAGUGGAGGAGCUGUCCAGACGCUGGAGAAGAGAAGGGCGCCACGGGAAAUCAAGCCGCUAAGGAAGGACUUAGGAUCAGUCAGGAGAUUGGUGGGAGUUCUGUGAAAGGACGAAAGAGCCCUUUGCCCCCCCCCCUCCCCUUGUGAUUACUUACCAACGACCUCCAGAGUUCUCAGGCCCAGUCCCCUCCUGUCAAGAGACGAAAAUCCAAAUUUUAGAUUCCCCUUUCUCCUUUCCUAAAUUAUCUUUUUAAAUAAUUUAAAUAAAGUUGUUUUAAAUUAUCCUUAACUCAUCUUGUGUGUCUGGUCAUUGGGGUGUUCUUGGGACCUCCUCGAGGUGGAAGCUAGGAAGGGGCGUGACUUGCAACACCUGUGGUCCGCUCCGACCUGUGACAAGUAGCCUAUUGUAUCAUGCACAUUGUAACAGAGGUGUACGGGGUGCGUUGAUAAUGCUGUGGUGCGGUUUGUGAAUGUCCAGCAUUUGUCCAAGUUUUGCUGUUUCGGGCGCGUCGUCAUUUUAGAGUGGCGUGAAUGUGCUUGACCAUAUAUACACUAUAGUGACCCGUGUAUUGGCGCACUACUUUUACUGAAUAUGUGGGAAAAUUUACUCUGCAUUUAACCCACCCUAAUCUAGCCUACUGUUGAAAUUGUUGAUCUGCCGUCAUUGUUGUUGAGAGCCUGUGUGCGGCAUUAUAUACAUAUGGCUGCGUUAGCAGUAACAGAGAUGUGCAUAUAGUUUACAGUUCCUCAUUGAAGGCCCUGACUGAAACCCCACGGUACACCACUGAGUUUAAGGCAAGUAAACUUAAUAAUUCAAUGUUAUCAAUUAUUUUAUUUUACUAAAGCCUGGCUCACACUACAGGAUUUUUAAAAUCCUAACUGAUUAUGAAAUCUGGCUGCAGCACACACAUUAGGAGAAUCUUUGCAGAUUCUUCCCUCAAAUCUUAAACAUGCACACACUACAAGAUUUGAACAUCGCGGCGCAAUACACACUACAAGAUAUCAUUAAGUCUCCACUAUCCAACGAAGCCGUACAUCAGCUGUUUCGCGCAUUGGCUGUGAAAGUACUGAUGUAAUCAUAUAGCCAUCAUCAUCCCGAUUUAAAUCCUAAAUAUCAAACAUGUUUGAUAUUAAUCGGGGCUGCCCCGAUUUGUAUGCGAGCAGAUCGGGAGGUGCAAGAUUCGAUCGGUGAACGCCUCACAUUACCAGAUAAUCCAUGCCGAACAUCGGGACAGAUCGAGGUGCUCGACAAGAUGUUUGCUCCGAUUCUCGGGAGGGGGAAAUCGGGGCUAAAUCGGGCUAAAAAUCCUGUAGUGUGAGCCAGGCUUAAGAGUUAAAGAAUGUUUGUUUAUUGUUUCUGUAGAUUUUUAAAGCCAGGAGAGCAUCAUUCUUUUGAGAUUUAUGUAAGUUAUUUUUAGAAAAUAAAUGUUUCUGUUGUCUCCUGCGUGUUUACUUCACAUUUUGAUGUAACAACAGUGUGAUUACGUGCUCAUAUUUCAUGAAAACCAUUGAUGUCUGUGUUUUUCAUUGCAGGACUCAAACCGACUUUGGAGUUGUCGGAUUUGGAGAGUCAUCAUUCUUGGUCUUCCUUUCUUAAAGGAAUAGUUCACACAAAAAAUAAUUUACUUGCCCUCAUGUCAUUCCAAACCUAUAAGACUUGUCUGUCUUUAGAACACAAAUUAAUAUAUUUUUAAUUUUCUCAUAAUUUUUUGUUAAUCCAUUUAUAGUCUAGAUAAUCAGUAUUUUCAAGCCUCAUAAAUACAGAGUUAUUGUAGAAGUAAUCCAUUCUGAUAUUUAUAUAUGAAUAAAUCUUAAAUUAUAUGAUAGUGAACAUGUCUGUUCAGAAGAAAAUAUUGGUCUCCCAGACUUGCAAUGGAGGACAAAUAUUAAGAGAAUAUUAAAUAUAUUUAUUUGUAUUCCAAAAAUUAGCAGAGUUUGUAUGGGUCUUGAACAACAUGGGGGAGAGUAAAUUAUGACCAUUUUCAUUUUUUGGUGAACUAACCCUUUGAAGAGCAGCCCUCCACGUACAGAUUUGUGAGGUAUGUGAAUGUCAUGUCUGUUUUAAUGUUUAAGUAAAGAAGUAGCUUUCUGCAAGCAAUAUAUUUAUUUAAUCAAUAUCACAUGCUCUCACACUAGUGCUGCCAUUAUAGCAUUCUAGAGCGCUGUGGAAGACAGAGACAUUAAACAACCACACAAAGUGUUGAAAUUAUAAAACAGAUUAUUUACCUAUCCUUACUGAUGUGAAUACACCUCUGUCUGAAAAUGGAUAGAGUUUAUUUAAAUGUUUUCUUUUUUAAAUGUUUUUCUCUUUUUAAGCCACUGAUGAAGGGCUUCUUCAUGAAUGCAUCAAUUAUGCUAAAGAGAUCAUGAAAAUUGGCAGUGAUGCAUGAUCUGUAUUCAUGGACUAUUGCUGCGUUCCAGGCAGGUUUUCGAGCCCCUAAAUCACAACUUCAAACCACGACUCACGACUUUGUAGCGUUCCAGGGAAGUCACGCCAAACUGCCUGAGCGCAAGGAAUUGUAGCUAGAUUAUUACAUUUAUUUCAACGUUAUAUUGUCCUAAAGUCUAUUUCUCAGCGUGUACCACUUGCAUUAACACAGCAUCCAUAGACAAAAUUAUCCGUAGGGGCUGCCAUAGUUGUUUCGCGGGCUAUGUGACGUCAGAGCUCGAUACUGGGAGUACAUCGAUUUGACGUUUGACUGCCAUUCUGGUGCACUUUCACGGGUAGAAGGUUGGAAAAACACAGGUUAUGGGUUGCCUGGAACGCGGCAUAAGAAUCAAACUGUAAGUGUAUAAUUUGUAAAAACAAAAUGUUAAAUGCUUGUUCUGUGUUGUUUAGUAGAAAUGGAGUUUACACUCUGUCAUUCAUACACAUGCUCAUUCUUUAACACAUGUGUCUUUUAAAUUUUAUAAUAUCAGUGUUAAUGUUGUGGUUUAUUUGUGUACUGUCAUGCUAGAAUAGUUUGUAAAGAACUUAACUAAUUGUACAAUUAUUGUAUAAUAGUGUUUUUGUAUAUUUUUAUACAGCAUAUAAAAUUUACCAAAAAAGUCAAAUUUAAUCUUAAAAGUUAUAUUCAACAAAUGUUCAAUGCUUUAUUUAUAAACUGUAGCUGUUAAUGCCAUACUUUUCUGCAUUUCUUCGUACAUGCAUGUUCCUUUUUGACUGUUUUCUCUUGUUUUUAAUAAAUAUUUACCUUUUGAUAGUUAUUCUUUGUGUGUAAGUGAUUUUAAAAUGAACAAGAUUUGUAGGUUUAAUGCCUAGCUCGAUUUUUGUUCAUUUUAGCCUAGCAAUGUAGUAAUUUUAAACCAU
rnacentral:lncRNA from 12 species